rnacentral:misc_RNA from 1 species
AUGGCGGCGAGCAAAGUGUCCAAAAAGUUACAUUCUAUGGCUAUAGAUUUCCUUUCUAGCCGAAAAAACGCCAACAAUCUUGCAGACAUCAUUUCCCUCAUUGAGAGUAAUGAUUCUAACAUACAACCAUGCCUCCUUGCUUUAGAAGUUAUCUUUAUUGAGGUUCUGAAACGGCGAGACAUGUAUCAAGAGAUACCAGUUACUGAUUUAAGUACUGCUGAUGGCGAAACUCAAUUUAGAGUAUGGCUAAGAGAGUGCUUUGAAGAUGUCUGGAGUAAACUUCUUGCUGUUAUAACAAACAGUCCAAAGAUUUCUGUUCAAACCCAAGCUUUGUCAACUUCAAUGAAAUUAAUUGCUAUGGAAGGACAGAACCCAUUAGAACCGCUCAAAAAAGGAGAACACUAUUUCCCCAGUCAUCGCUUAAGGCUUUUACUUUUAGCUCUCCUUUCAUCUGGCCGUAAUAGCAGUCCACUUCUAGCUCGCCUCCAAGAAUUCUCAACAUAUCCCGAUGUCCUGUAUAAUGUUUGGAGGCAACUGUUUCCUAUUGCAAUUGGUCUCCAACGCAAUGGUCAAAGACCGGAUGAAAAUUUCAUUCGUAACUAUCUGGAUCUUAUUGACAAAUUCCCGCUACCCAAACCUGGCAGGGGUGAAAGAGGAGAAGAUCAUGACCUAACAGACACCCUGCUCUGUGGACAACAAGGUCACAUUGGCUACAUUUUAAAUAUGGAUCACUUGCGAAAGUCAGUAAACAAAGUUUGGGGAUGUGUAAUGCAUUGGAAUCAUACCCCAGCAACCCAGCGUCUGCUUCUUGUGGUCCUUUUGGAACGUGUUCUACCAUUCCUAGAUAAACCUCUACUUCUUACUGACUACUUGAUGGAUAGUUUAGACUCUGGUGGUGCUGUAAGCCUCCUCGCAUUGCAGGGAAUUUUCACUCUCAUUCAAAACCAUAACCUGGAAUACCCCAAUAUCUUCAGUAAACUGUAUUCAAUGUUUGAACCAGAAAUCUUCCAUACAAAGUUUAAAGCACGAUUGUUUUAUUUAUCAGAUAUGUUCCUAAGCUCAUCGCACCUGCCAGAAAAUAUUGUUGCAGCAUUUGCUAAACGCUUAGCCCGUUUAUCUUUAGUGGCUCCGCCUGAGGACAUUCACAUUAUUCUUAUGUUCAUUGGAAAUCUCAUUUUACGCCAUCCUGGUCUUAAACUUCUCAUAAAUAAUCCAAAUGGCGACAAUGUUCCAGAUGACCCCUUUGUCAUGGAAGAAAGGGAUCCGAGCAAAAGUAGAGCUAUGGAAAGUUCAUUAUGGGAACUACAUACCCUUCAAAGUCAUGUUUUACCUGGAGUGGGAACAGCGGCCAACUUCAUUUACAACCCUCUCCCUUCUGUAGAGUGGGAUCUGAGCCAAAUACUGGAAGAGAGCUCUGAUGAUAUAUUUGAAAGGGAAAUGAAGAAGAAACUAAAAGAGAUUGCUCUAACCUUUGAUCGUCCACAAACAUUGUCACUGCCACAACAUGAACGAGUAUCACAGUUUUGGCAGCUUGUUUAAACACCAUGUUCUUGCUUUGAUUUUGCUGCUGCCUUACUGUUGUUUCAAUUUAUUGGAGGUUGAUAUUUUACAUUCUGAUUUGUAUUCUGUGAAACCCCAUUUCAAAAAAAAUUGCUGUAACAGAAUUUUGACAUAUUUUGAGAUUAUGUCAUCAGGAUUCGUAGUGAGAGGGUUUCACUGUAUUAAAAUAGUUUUCAAGUGUUGAUGUGUUAAAACAAAAAGUUUGAGAGUUGUUUGUUUUUCUUUCACAAGCACAGUUUAUGGAGUCUUUUGUUCUUUUAAAGUAAUUUAUUUCAUGCCAUGUGAAUGGGGGAAUGAACACACUUCUCCCUCUUAAGUCUGAUCGCAUAUGAUAGCCAAUCCCAGUAAAUACUUCAUUACUUAGUUUGUUAAAACCAACUACAACAUUUUUCCUUGAUUAUUGCAUUAUUAAUUGGAAACUUGAGUUUUAAGGUGCCAUAGGGUAUGAAUACUCAAUGUUAAACCACCAAAGCCUUUCUGUAAAUAUUGUUACAUGCAACAAGUAGUGUAGGUACAAAGUAGUGCUGUGUGGUAUCAGCAAGUGUUAGCACUGUUUCUCACACUCAAUCCUCUUGUUUUUUAAUCUUUUAUAUUAUUAUCUGAAUACUUCAAACUCAUCAUACAGUCAAUGGUACUUCAUGUGCCAUGAUUCAAGAGAACUGUAUUCUACACAGGUGUUUCAUAAUCAUCUUGAACGUUAAUUAUGAUAGAUCUGGGGCUGCCCCUAGAAUUGAAAACAGUGCAUUUGCAAUUCGUGUUCCUGGGGUGUGUCAAAAAAUAAAUUGAAGAUUGUAACCAUUGGAAACUUGUAACAAGUUUUAUGUAGGAUUGUGCUUUAAUUGGUUAUUUGUGGACCGAACCCAUGUUUGAUUGUGAGUUUAGUUGUUGCAUUUGCAGAAGAGAAUGAUCAAAAUCAUUCUUGUGCAACAAAUAAUUCUUUGUCUGUGAUUUUUAUCAGUUAAGGGUUAUAACUUGUUCAUAAUUUUAAUUUUGUGUUUAAACUUUCAAAAUUAAGAUUUGUGGAGCUCAAUUUGUAGACUUGCAGUUGCUGCUAAAACCCCAUUUCUUAAUUAUUUGUUUUUAAGAUUUUCUUUUGUAGUACAGUAAUUUGAAUUGUUCACCUUGAUUGAGCAUCCACCCAAGGCACAUAGUGUUGCAAAUUUACUUAAACAUUAACUUUUGACGUGACCCUUUUGUUUCAUAUUGCCAUGUGAGGUAUGGCACCAAUCGCUGUGAUAGUUGGUAUGUUGAAAGGGGCAAUACUGCUGUGUGAGACUGAGUGUUUGCCAUGUCAUACAUGGCUGCAUGUGACUGACUUUCUGAGUCAUGUGAGUGCAGGGAUGGUUUGGAUACUGUGGUGAAAGUUUCAGCAACAAGUGCUUUGAAAGCCAGCUAAUUUCCUUUGGCCUUUAAAGCACAUCUUCACAAAUUUUCUACAUCUUGGUUGCUGCUAAAUGAUUGUUGCUGAACCUUUCAUCUUCGUCUUGAACUUGCUGUGUCUUAUUGUUUCCCUCAAGAGUACUAUCAUUCUAUGUAAUAAAGAGUACAUAUGUUUGCAUUUUCCCAAUUCUUGUGUCAUGAUUAGAGCUAAGAUAAACAGUGAGCCUUUA